rnacentral:rRNA from 1 species
ACGAACGCUGGCGGCGUGCUUAACCCAUGCAAGUCGAACGGAAAGGCCCUGCUUUUGUGGGGUGCUCGAGUGGCGAACGGGUGAGUAACACGUGAGUAACCUGCCCUUGACUUUGGGAUAACUUCAGGAAACUGGGGCUAAUACCGGAUAGGAGCUCCUGCUGCAUGGUGGGGGUUGGAAAGUUUCGGCGGUUGGGGAUGGACUCGCGGCUUAUCAGCUUGUUGGUGGGGUAGUGGCUUACCAAGGCUUUGACGGGUAGCCGGCCUGAGAGGGUGACCGGCCACAUUGGGACUGAGAUACAGCCCAGACUCCUACGGGAGGCAGCAGUGGGGAAUAUUGCACAAUGGGCGGAAGCCUGAUGCAGCAACGCCGCGUGCGGGAUGACGGCCUUCGGGUUGUAAACCGCUUUCGCCUGUGACGAAGCGUGAGUGACGGUAAUGGGUAAAGAAGCACCGGCUAACUACGUG